AUGACCAAGAUUGCUCUCCUUGUGUUCUUCUCCCAGUACACAGGUUCCCUCUCUCAGCCUGUGCUGACUCAGCCACCCUCCCUCUCUGCAUCUUCUGGGGCAACUGUAAGACUUACCUGCACCCUGAGUAGUGGUUUUAGUAUUGCUAGUUACCACAUAAACUGGUACCAGCAAAACCCUGGAAGCUCUCCCAGGUUGCUCCUGUGCUACGUCUCAGAUUCAAAUAAGUACCAAGGACCUGGUGUCCCUGACCGUUUCUCUGGAUCCAAGGAUGUCUCAGCUAAUGCAGGUGUUCUUCAUAUCUCUGGACUGGCAUCUGAGGAUGAUGCUGAUUAUUACUGCAGUGUAUGGGAUGGCAGCUCUAACACUUACACAGUGCUUCAUUGUAUGGGGAAGUGA